rnacentral:rRNA from 1 species
UUCGGAUUGUAGUCUGCAACUCGACUACAUGAAGCUGGAAUCGCUAGUAAUCGCGGAUCAGAAUGCCGCGGUGAAUACGUUCCCGGGUCUUGUACACACCGCCCGUCACACCAUGGGAGUCGGAAAUGCCCGAAGCCAGUGACCCAACCUUUAAGGAGGGAGCUGUCGAAGGCAGGUCUGGUAACUGGGGUGAAGUCGUAACAAGGUAUC